GAUGAAGAACGUAGCGAAAUGCGAUAAGUAAUGUGAAUUGCAGAAUUCAGUGAAUCAUCGAAUCUUUGAACGCACCUUGCGCUCCUUGGUAUUCCGAGGAGCAUGCCUGUUUGAGUGUCAUGAAAUUCUCAACCUUUUCAGCUUUCUUUGUUGAUCAGGCUUGGAUGUGGGAGUAUGCGGGCUUCUCAGAAGUCGGCUCUCCUGAAAUGCAUUAGCGGGACCUUUGUUGCCUGGCUCUGGUGUGAUAAUUAUCUACGCCAUUGUAGUCAAGCAGCUUAAAAUGAGGUUUCAGCUUCUAACCGUCUCCCCUGAGACAACUUUUUGACAAUUUGACCUCAAAUCAGGUAGGACUACCCGCUGAACUUAAGCAUAUCAAUAAGCGGAGGA
rnacentral:misc_RNA from 1 species